UAUCUUAUGCAUCUUCUUUCA
rnacentral:piRNA from 1 species